rnacentral:lncRNA from 1 species
CAGCUCGUAGCACAGCACCCCCAGGCACCACAGGUCGACCUUCUCGUCGUGGCUGUUGCCCUCCACCAUCUCCGGGGGCAGGUAAUCCAGGGUGCCACAGAGAGUCCGGCGCCUGAGGGGUUAAAACACACCUGGGCACACCUGGGCACACCUGGGCACUCAGAGAACCCCACACCUGACUCAGGUAAUCCCAGGGUGCCGCACAGGGUCCGGCGCCUGAGGGGUUAAAACACACCUGGGCACACCUGGGCACACCUGGGCACUCAGAGCCCCACACCUGGCACAGGUAAUCCCAGGUGAUGCACAGGGUCCUGCGCCUGAGGGGUUAAAACACACCUGGGCACACCUGGGCACACCUGGGCACUCAGAGAACCCAUGGAACCUCACACCUGGCUCAGGUAAUCCCAGGUGAUGCACAGGGUCCGGCGCCUGAGGGGUUAAAACACACCUGGGCACACCUGGGCACACCUGGGUGCUCACAGGACCCCACACCUGGCUCAGGUAAUCCCAGGUGAUGCACAGGCUCUGGCACGUGAAGGGUUAAAAAUGUACCUGGGCAAUCACAGAUUCCCCCAGGUGUCCCCAGGUGUGUCCAGGUGUGUCCCCAGGUGUCCCCAGGUGUGUCCCCAGCUGUCCCCAGGUGUCCCCAGGUGUCUCCAGGUGUCCCCAGGUGUCCCCAGGUGUAUCCAGGUGUCCCCAGGUGUGUCCCCAGGUGUAUCCAGGUGUCCCCAGGUGUGUCCCAGGUGUCUCCAGGUGUCUCCAGGUAUCCCCAGGUGUCCCCAGGUGUCCCCAGAUGUGUCCCCAGGUGUCUCCAG